CUGCUUGGCUUCUGGCACUCUCUCAAAGAGUGUGCGGCUGAGUCAAGACUAAUCGUGAGUGCCAGUUUGGUUUCUACUUCAGUGCCACUUCCCCGGUUAUCUGAUGCUAUUAAACUUAUAUUCCAUGGGGAGGUUCUGUGGUUUUCUGCAGCCACUAUACCCCCCUGGAUGUUGUCAUCUUUAAUCAAAGAGCCACUGGAUAUGACUUUCUGGAUUGUAAUGUUUACUGUUGGAAAAAUCGAUAUCCAUCCAUGUUCAAAAAGGCGUGUGUUGGCUCUCAGCAUUCUUCCCUCUUUUGGCCCAGAUUUGACAUUGUUUGGUAGGCAUACAGUUAGUUUGUAGUUUGAGAUCUUAGCCAUUUCUUUGUUUCAUUUUAGCUAGAAGAUCUUUUAAAUUUCUAGUCAUUGUUUUUGAUGGAUUUGAGAAAGGAGGAGCAAAGUUGCUGCAACUCUGCCAUCUGAAGCCUGAAGUUGGCUGUUUUCUUAACAAUGAUGGUUGGAGAUGUGAAUUGAUAAAAUACUGAAAGUAGUUAAGACAUAGAUAAAAAUGUGGAGAAAAUUACCACAUCCUUAGCUCCUCUAGAGAAGGAAGAAAAUAAACCCCAAGAGGAAACAGGAAAGAAGUAAGAAUACAUACUUGAAAACACACUAUUGUCACAGAUAUCAGGGAGAAGUGAUAGAGGAAGUGGUCAACUGUGUUAAAUGUACCAAAACAUCAAGAAAAAGUAAGGACAAAGAAAGAACUGCUGAGAUUGACAAAUGAAGACAUUGUCAGAAACCAUUUCCGUGAGCAAUCGCACUGGCAUAGUGAAAGAAAUCAUUAGGUUGCAGGGAAUGGAGGCAAUAAACAGACCCCACUCAUUCAAUGUUAACCGCAAUCCCAAACCACCAUUUCAGAAGUGCCUGCUUUUGAUUGCUGGGGAAAUGGAGUAAACAAGUAUAAAUGGCUUAAUGCAGAUUCACCAACGUUGCAGAAGAAUGCAUGUCGGUGAUGUCCAGAGAUGGCAUUAUCUUUGUAGUUGAAGCAUGUGGCUGAUUUUUCAACUACACAAAAUUCUCAAGCCCUUAGGAGACAGGAACUGUGUUUAAGAGACAGUCAAAAGGAGAAGCUCUGCUUGCUAUGUGCUGAAGUGCUCCCAUCUGUAUUGAAUUCUAACAGAAUGUCUCCUCCGUCAUAUACAGAUUUAUGGAUGGGUUCCUUUAUUACCACACAUCUUUCCUUCUUGAAGAUGACAGAAACCUACAGCUGUCAAUCGCUAAUAAGCGUAGUUUUCUUGCAUUACAAUCCACUCUACAGUGUGUUUUCCUU